ACGUUAAAGCGUGCUUGGGGAAAUGCGGGUGAAAAUCCCGCGCUAUGCCAGUAACCGUAAACCUUCUUCGGCAUUACUGCGUCUGAAGGAAAAGUCGGAAUGCCCGCCACCGC
rnacentral:ncRNA from 2 species